rnacentral:miRNA from 1 species
UUGUGUGCUGAGUUUUC